rnacentral:lncRNA from 1 species
AAACAAACGUUUUAAAUACUUGAACAUCUUCAGAUUCGUGGUAACCAUGACUACCCGAAAAAGAAAAGGAGAGCCUCGCACUCUAGGAGCUCAGAUGCAACAAUUUAAUAACCAACGUUUCGACAGACAAGCUGUCUUUCAUCAGGGUAUAUUGACAAACACUGCAGGGGAGAGUGGGGAAGCAAACAACACGUUGUUUCACACACUGCUUGUGAUGCUCCAAAACAGUUUUUGAUGAGAGUCCGAGUGAAGGAAAGGAAAAGAUAAGGACAACAGAGGACGAGAGGAAGCGAAGGAUGAUGAACGAAGACAAGUGUAUGACUCACCAGUUAAACCUGUUCAAAUGAUUGUGAACCAACUGCAAUUUUCGCCCAAAGUCCAAGGAGG